CCCUGCCCUCACGGGCGGAGCGCCCGCCGGAGGAUACCAAACUCUAUUUUAACGACGUUUCUUCUGAGUGGCACAAGCAAAUAAUUAAAACUUUCAACAACGGAUCUCUUGGUUCUGGCAUCGAUGAAGAACGCAGCGAAAUGCGAUAAGUAAUGUGAAUUGCAGAAUUCAGUGAAUCAUCGAAUCUUUGAACGCACAUUGCGCCCGCCAGCAUUCUGGCGGGCAUGCCUGUUCGAGCGUCAUUUCAACCCUCAAGCUCUGCUUGGUGUUGGGGCCCUACGGUUGACGUAGGCCCUUAAAGGUAGUGGCGGACCCUCUCGGAGCCUCCUUUGCGUAGUAACUAACGUCUCGCACUGGGAUUCGGAGGGACUCUUGCCGUAAAACCCCCAAAUUUUUAAAGGUUGACCUCGGAUCAGGUAGGAAUACCCGCUGAA
rnacentral:rRNA from 1 species